rnacentral:lncRNA from 1 species
AAUAAGUAAAAGAUUAAACCACUACUAAGUCAAUAUAUAGCGUGAGCCCAAACUCAUUGGCAACAUGAUAAGUGUUGGGAAUCCGGUACUCGCCCCGGCCCCGGUACCGAAUCUCGUGAAUCCGCAACCCGCUCCGAUACUGACUGCUGUGGAUUCGGUACCGAUUGUUGGGAUUCGGCAACGGAAACAUCAAAUCGAGUUUUUACCAUAAACCUGUCUUCUCAGCAAAAACUGAUACAAUCAUAAAAGAGAAAAAAAUAUGCAGAUAAAAUAAAAUUCAUUAAAUAAGAGAAGAUUACACCUGACUCCUCUUCUGCACAGAGUAGCUACAACCCGAGCCCUCUUUCUGAAUCUCUUCUACCCUUCUCUCGUCUUCUAUAAAAUCCACAAAGAAGACCUCUCCACGUGCACCCGUGCACAAGGUGCACUAAAAUAACUCUCUCUCUCCUUUUCUGUCUCUGGUACGACACCCUAAUGGUUCCAGCGGUACUACCCUAAAAAAAAAGAGAGCCACAAUACCUAUUUAUAAUGCUCAACUUAAAACGUACCCCAAUCCUAAUAUAUUUAGGAUUCAUACUUUAAUUAAUAUCUAAAUAUAUCUUAAUCAAUCUCUAAUAGAUUUAAAUAUUAAUCCUAAUCUAGUUAGGUUUAUUUUCUAAUUAAUAUUUAAAUCAUGAUUUAUCUCCAACAAAUUUAAAUAUUAAUUCUAAUCCAAAUAGGAUUCAAUUACAAAUCUAACCAAAUCAUAACAAUCUCCACCUUGGUUGGAUUUGUAAUCUUCAACCGUCACGUCGAGCUCACUAUGCAAGCUCCACCUUGAGCUUGUCUCCUCCGCUCGAUGUCGCCGCAUCCGCCGGUCCGCCUCGAGCGACUGCACCUCCGCGAACUUUUGGAACCCAAAUCGUCUUUGCUUCCAUUCUGACUAUGCUCCCGUUCAGAACAUAUAAGUUCCUACGCUUGUUCGCCUCGCACACGACCCGAUCUGGUUUUCGGACCCUCAUAGCUCCACCUGAAGCCGAAAUAUCGCAACCCUUCGAGUCCAAUGCGCUUAACGAGAUCAAAUUUCGCUUCAAUCCAGGAACGUACCGCACACCUGUCAGCGUCCUCACGACCCCAUCGUGCAUUUGGAUCUUUAUCGUGCCGACUCUCAAUACUUUGCACGCUGUCCCGUUCCCUAUCAGUGCCUUUCCACCUUUGAUCGCCUUAUAGGUGGCAAAAGACUCCUUCUCCGGACAUACGUGAAAAGAACAUGCCGAAUCGAGCACCCACGCAUCGUCCGAAAUUUUCGCACCUCCGGUCGCCGCACACAGCACAUCAGAAUCAAUCAUCUUCGACUCUGCUGUCUGUGCCGUCGCUGAUAUCGCCUCGUCCUGGUUCACGACAGUUUGCUCCUUCUGUCGCUUUAACUCCUUCAGAUCAUCCUGAAGUUUUCGACAAUUGCGCUUGAUAUGUCCCUUCCUGUGACAGUAAAAGCAUUCUACCUCAGAUAGCGGUUUCUUCUGUUGAUAUCCGGUCGCCGAUAUUCUCGCCUCCUUCUUCGCAGUCACUACCAGCCCUACAUCCUGACUUUGCGUGCCGGACUCCUGAGUCAUCUUUCGCAUCUCGUUCGAGAGAAGCAUCGCCGUGACCGCCUCCACGGUUAUGGACUCCUUGCCAUAAAGCAACGUGGUCACCAGAUACUCAUAUGUCGUCGGUAACGAAGAUAGUAGGAUCAACGCCUUAUCUUCGUCAUCCAGAUUGACUCCGAUGCUGGUCAACUGGGCCACCACCUUGUUGAACUCAUUUAGAUGAUCAUGUAGGCUCGCCGCUUCUUGCAUCCGCAACGUAAACAGUCGCUGCUUCAGAUACAAUCUGUUCGUUAGGGAUUUGGUCAUGUACAGAUCUUCCAAUUUCUUCCACAAUUUCGCCGGUGUCGUCUCGUUGGCUACAUUAAAAAGAACCUCAUCUGCUAAUGAUAGAUGAAGCGUACUCAGCGCCUUCCGCUCCAUCUUUGUCCAUGCCGCAUUCGUGACCUCCGCCGACUUUGCUUCCUUCCCGUUCAACGUCUCGUCUAACUCUUGCUGUACGAGAAUUGCUCGUACUUUAAUUUGCCAUAAUCCGAAAUUGUUCUUGCCGUCGAACUUCUCGAUUUCGAAUUUCGUGGCCAUCUCCGUCGAUCUCUCCCGCAGAUCGGUAACCUUCGGCUCUGAUACCGCUUGUUGGGAAUCCGGUACUCGCCCCGGUACCGGAUCUCGUGAAUCCGCAAUCCGCUACGAUACCGACUGCUGUGGAUUCGGUACCGAUUGUUGGGAUUCCGCAACGGAAACAUCAAAUCGAAUUUUUACCAUAAACCCGUCUUCUCAGCAAAAGCUGAUACAAUCAUAAAAGAUAAAAAUAUGCAGGUAAAAUAAGGUUCAUUAAAUAAGAGAAGAUUACACUUGACUCAUCUUCUGCACAGAGUAGCUACAAUAGGGGUGGAACUGGGCCCGGGCCUAAACAAGGCCCGGCCCGAUGGGCCAUGUUUGGGCCGGGCUUUGGGUAUUAAAAAUACAACUUUGGGUUCGGGCCGGGUUUAAAAAUUUAGGCCCGAAAAAAUUUUGGGCCUAUUUGGGCAUGUCCAAGCCCGACCCGAGCCCGACCCAAAAGCCCGAUAUAUUAAUUAUCAAAAUAAAAUAUUUAAUUAUAUAUAUUAUUUAUCUAUUAAAAGAAAUAAAUGAUAUAGUAUAUCAUAUAUAGUAUAUAUUGUUAUUAAUGAUAUGUACUUAUAUAUAUGAGGAUAUAUUAUAUAUUAACAAAAUAUUUAGUUCUAUAUUAUGAUAUAUUUGAUCUUAGAUAUUAAUUUCUUUGAUGUGAUAAAACUAAAAAUAGGUAUUUUAUUUUAAUUUUAUACAAAUAAAAGUAUUCAUAUAUUAUAUGAUAAAUGCAUAAAAUGGGCCUCCACAAAGCCCGAUGGGUAUUGGGUAUUGGGCUUGGGCUUGGGUCGGGCCUUAAUUUUUUUAAAAAAUUGGAUAAAAGCCCGACCCGAAGCCCAACAUAUUUUUUUGGGCCGGGCUUGGGCAUAGUAAUACCCGACCCAAGCCCGGCCCAGUUCCACCCCUAAGCUACAACCCGAGCCCUCUUUCUGAAUCUCUUCUACCCUUCUCUCGUCUUCUAUAAAACCCACAAAGAAGACCUCUCCACGUGCACCCGUGCACAAGGUGCACUAAAAUAACUCUCUCUCUCUCUUUUUCUCUCUCU